AUCAGAAACCCUUGGAUCUGAAAGAUGAUAACACUGAAAUUCACUGUCCUGUUACAGUAAAUCCAUGGCACAUGAAGAAAGCUUUCAAAGUUAUGAAUGAAUUAAGAAGGCCUUUGUUCAUUCAGUCACUAUACAAGCAAAUGGUUAAAAUGUUGCUUCAGAACACAAGCUUUUCCAAAAUAAAUUGGUGUGCCCUCAUGAAGGUGCUGAGUUGCCGUGGAAGCCACAAGAUGCUUGCAGCAGAUCAAAACUUGCUGUGUGACGUGACGAUAGUAGCUGAAGACAUGGAAAUUGCAGCGCAUAGAGUUGUGCUAGCUGCGUGCAGCCCCUACUUCCAUGCCAUGUUUACAGGUGAGAUGAGUGAAAGCCGAGCAAAGAGAGUUCGAAUAAAGGAAGUUGAUGGCUGGACUUUGAGGGUGCUUAUUGAUUAUAUUUACACAGCAGAAAUUCAAGUUACAGAAGAAAAUGUGCAGGUCUUGCUACCAGCAGCUGGUCUCUUGCAACUGCAGGAUGUGAAAAGGACUUGCUGUGAAUUUUUGGAAUCCCAGCUUCAUCCGAUCAACUGCUUGGGAAUUCGUGCUUUUGCUGACAUGCAUGCAUGCACAGAUCUCUUGAACAAGGCCAACACAUAUGCAGAACAGCACUUUUCUGAUGUCGUUCUUAGUGAAGAAUACCUCAAUCUUGGUGUCGAGCAAGUGUGCAGUCUUAUAUCCAGUGACAAGCUCACAAUUGCCUCAGAAGAGAAGGUAUUUGAAGCAGUGAUAGCGUGGGUUAACCAUGACAAAGAUGUCAGGCAGGAGCUAAUGGCACGCCUGAUGGAGCAUGUUCGGCUGCCUUUGCUUUCCCGCGAAUAUUUAGUUCAGAGAGUUGAAGAAGAAAUAUUGGUUAAGAACAGCAGUGCUUGUAAAGAUUACCUCAUUGAAGCGAUGAAGUAUCACUUGCUGCCAACUGAGCAACGAGCAUUGAUGAAGAGCACUCGGACGAAACUGAGAACACCUGCUAGCCUUCCAAAAUUGAUGAUGGUAGUUGGAGGACAGGCACCAAAGGCAAUUCGCAGUGUUGAAUGCUAUGAUUUUAAAGAAGAACGCUGGCAUCAGGUGGCUGAAUUGCCUUCCAGAAGAUGUAGAGCAGGAAUGGUGUACAUGGGAGGCAUGGUUUAUGCUGUUGGUGGUUUCAAUGGUUCUUUGAGAGUUCGCACAGUAGAUUCCUAUGAUCCGGUGAAGGACCAGUGGACAAGCGUUGCCAAUAUGCAAGACAGGAGAAGCACACUGGGAGCAGCUGUAUUAAAUGGCCUUCUUUAUGCUGUGGGAGGAUUUGAUGGGAGUACAGGUUUAUCAUCAGUCGAAGUUUACAACUUGAAGACUAAUGAAUGGUUUCACGUAGCUCCAAUGAACACAAGAAGAAGUAGUGUUGGUGUAGGUGUUGUUGGAGGCAAACUGUAUGCUGUUGGUGGCUACGAUGGGGCGUCACGUCAGUGCCUUAGUUCGGUAGAAUGCUAUGACGCCAAUACAAAUGAGUGGACCUACGUUGCAGAAAUGAGCACUAGACGGAGUGGAGCAGGUUUUCUCAACUCGCAGAAGUUGUUUUAUUUCUCUAGAUCUGUUCCCAUGGACUUUUUCAAGUCAAAUUACAUGAUAUUAUAUCUCUACAUUUAUUUUUUUAGUUGUUUAAGUAACUUUUUUGUCAAUGGUGCUUUUUAGCAACAUCCUUCAAAUACCUAGUGGUGAUUGCAUUAAUGUGCUUCAUAAUUGGAAGAGUUGUUGCUACAAAUAAAACUGGAUGGACUUCUAGUGUGCUCAGUAGAUGAUUAAUAGUUAUCCCAACUUUACAUCUUGCCUUCCAUUAUUCUUUAUUAACUCUGAACAGUUUUUAAUCCAUGUAAUGAUGUUUAAAUUAAGUCCAAAUUGUUUCAAAAGAAAUAUAUAAAAGUACUAAAAUAAUUACUAUAAGUAAGAUAUUUAUUUUGGGAUACUUCCAUUAUAACCUCACAAAAUCAGAAGUUGAUAUGUCUCAUUGCUAAAUGCAGUGUUUUGAUUGUAUUUCUAAACUAAAUCUGUGAUGUUAAUAAAGAAACAUUAUACUCUGUACCUUGAGAAAACAUCAUUGUCUUGUGAAACUUCUAGUUAGUCUUUGCAUCUUGGAAGUAAAUUCUGGAUUAAAAACUGGCCAGAGUUGCCUACUCUGGUCUAAUAUCAGCAAGUUUUGAGGAUAACUUUUUAUAUAAAUGGGCAAUUACAAGUAUCAUUAUAAGGACAAAAGUGUUGGUUGUGACAAAGUUUCAUUUUGCAAUCUGCCUGCACAGCCAUUUUACCUCAGCUUUUUUUUUUUUUUUUAAUAUUCUGGUUUUGCGAAUUAUCGUCGUGCUUGUAGCCUGUUUAAACUCUAUAUAUUUUCAGAUUUUUAAAAAAAUAUUGUAUUACUUCUGCAACUCUGAAAUUUAGUGCCUUAGAUACACUAACUACUGGGAUCUUUCUGCCCCUCUCCUCCCUCUCCUUGUCCCAGAGUUCAGGACCGUGUUUGUUUACUCAACUCUCUGCUGCCUUUUACCUUGCCCUCUGAUGAAAAAAAGAUUGGAGAGGAAAAGUAAAUAUUGCCAGUUACUUCAGAUUUAUAUAAUUGAGUUAAAUAAUCAACAUCCUUCUGUGCUAUUCUGUUAAAUACAUGGAAAAUUACAUUUUUGCAUGGGGAAGGAAUGGGUGGUAAUGUGAAAAUCCUGACUAUUGAUUGAGCUUGGCUGUAGUGGCCAAAUAUCCCAAACCACCAGAAUUGUUUCAACUGGUCAUCAGUCCUGGUGGUGUUAUGGGUGCUAACUAAAGAGAAUUUUGUUCCUAUGUGAAACCUUUGAUCUCUGGUCAUCAUCGUAAGGAACAUAAGCCCAUCUCUUCUGUUCCCACUGCUUCAGCUUCAUUGAAAAACUUCAGAGGUUAACCUUCAGUUAUUCUUCUUUAGUACAAAUCUCAGUUGAUCAAUACGGGGACAGAUCUGUUUCCAGCAGCAUACUGGGAUGAGGAACUUCAGUUUCAGAUAGAGGCCAUUUGGGAGGGAUGAGAGAUAUAAGACAGGGUCCUGAAAAAUGGGCAGGAAAGAAAAAUUAACAAAGAAAGGAGAACUCAGAAGACGACAACAAGAGGAUACAGACGGAAGGAACAAGAAAUAAGGUAGGACAUGGAAACUGGGUGUGGGAUUGAGGGAAAAUGAAGCGCCAAAGAGGAAUGGAGGACAUGAUUAAAAAUGAGGAGCUAUCAAAGAAAAUAUGGCGAUGUGGCAGAGAGAAAACUCUACACACUGAAUAGAAAGGUUGGUAACUAUACAGAAAGCCUGGGUGGGGAGGCUUUAUAUCACAGCACAUAUUUAAACUAAAAAUCUUAGCUCUUCUUCUAGCUCUGUGAUGUUUAAUGCUACAAAAGAUGAAUGUUGUAUUAUCCUGUCUGAUAAUGUGAUCAGAGCGGGAGAAAGAAAAGCUGUCACGCUAUACUGUGACGUGAUAGCUAGAAACAAUAGUAGUAAAAGGAAUUAAAUUAACUGGGAAGGAUAUGGGGAAAUGUUAGUAGUGAAUAUCACCGAUAAAGCAUUAGAUAGCAUGAUUUAUAACUCAGUGUCCUAUUAAGAAGCUAUUUUUCAGUCUUGCAGUACCAAUGAACUCUUCCAUGUUUCUUCCCCUUUUUCCUUCAAUUAUUAAAACAUGUCUUUUUAAAAAGAAAAUUUAGUUAUUUCAGCAGGAGUCAUUUCUCUCCCCAUAUAGGAAUGGCUCUUACAUACCAUAUCAGUGAUAUGUUUUCAAAGAUAUUUCAGCUGGCUAUUAAGGUCUUGGAGUUCUUUUUUAUUUAACCCAAUAUUUCUUUUUCUCUGACUUAACUAGUCUUUUGCAUUCAAGCUCUGCCCUUUCCAUGGAACCCUUUAAGAACUAUGGUUGCAAAUCUGUAUCUCAGCUUUGAGUUUCAUAAUCUUAAAUAUGGCAUAUAUUAGAUUUCCCAAUGUACUUCCAUAGUUGUGUUUUUUCGAUUGUCUUUAUGGUCCAUCACUCACAAAUUUUAAUGCAAAAAACCACCCCUGCAUUUUUGAACAUCUAUUAUGUUUCGGUUCUAAUAGUGCUUUAUGAAGUUGAGGAAUAAAUAAACAGACCUUCCUUCCUGCUUACCCUAUUACCAUCUUUCUAAUAUGUACAGCCCAAUUAGCAAGUAGAUAUAGACUAGCUUUAUUUCUUCCUUCAUCCCAAGCUUACAGAUUGAUAACAUCUUGUUGUGAAGGAGACCCUUUAAUAUCCUUUUGGAUAUUUUGAUAACUGGAGCUUGGUUCAAGGAAGCUUGGUGUUCUCCAAAUCUUGGAGGAGGAAUGUGCUCACUCUGUUUACUUUUGUUUCAUAAAUGUUUACCAGGUAUUCUAACACCUAAGUGGAAACAUCCCUGUUGCAUAAUGUCUAACCAUUCAGCUUUUAUCCUCUGUACCACACAGUUUUUACUUUCUAAAAAUUCACUUACGCUUUAUCAUCUUGUCAGAUUUCUGUUAUGCUGGCUGAGCACACUGUCUCAUUUACUGUCACUUCUAAUUAGUCCUAGAUUUCAACAGUCUUCAUUUUCCUGCACAUCACUUUUUGUCCAAAAUUUUCUAAGUCUUCUGUUGCAGAGCAGCUUUGUUCUUUGUGUGCUGCAAUAUGGUUGAUGGACAAACAAGAUAUUUAAUUAGUGCCUUGCUGUAGUUACUGUCUUUUUGCUUUAAUGCAUCCUGACCCAAAUGUUUUCUGAAAUAGUUCUUAACACUGACUGGAUGAAGGAUUUAUGUUAGUGGACAUAAUAUUUACUGUUUCUUCUUUGUAUCAGUCAAACCAUUCUCUGGUUAAUUUUGGGUAUUUUCAUAUGUUUGCAGGUGUUGGUGUGUUAAACAAUUUAUUGUAUGCAGUAGGUGGUCACGAUGGUCCUUUGGUAAGAAAAAGUGUUGAAGUGUUUGAUCCUGUGGCCAGUACGUGGAAGCAGGUUGCAGACAUGAACAUGUGCAGAAGGAACGCAGGUGUUUGUGCUGUAAAUGGUCUCUUGUAUGUCGUUGGAGGAGAUGAUGGUUCC